UACGGAGGGUGCGAGCGUUGUCCGGAAUCAUUGGGCGUAAAGGGCGCGUAGGUGGCGGGACAAGCGUGCGGUGAAAGCUCGGGGCUCAACCCCGCGUCGGCCGUGCGAACUGUUUGCUUGAGCACUGUAGAGGCAGGCGGAAUUCCGGGUGUAGCGGUGGAAUGCGUAGAGAUCCGGAAGAACACCGGUGGCGAAGGCGGCCUGCUGGGCAGUAGCUGACACUGAGGCGCGACAGGCGGUGGGGAGCAAACAGG
rnacentral:rRNA from 1 species